GACGGAGGGUGCUAGCGUUGUUCGGAAUGACUGGGCGUAAAGGGCGCGUAGGUGGCCCAGUAAGCGUGCGGUGAAAGCUCGGGGCUCAACCCCGAGUCGGCCGUGCGAACUACUGGGCUGGAGCACUGUAGAGGCAGGCGGAAUUCCGGGUGUAGCGGUGGAAUGCGUAGAGAUCCGGAAGAACACCGGUGGCGAAGGCGGCCUGCUGGGCAGUUGCUGACACUGAGGCGCGACGAGCGUGGGGAGCAAACAGG
rnacentral:rRNA from 1 species